rnacentral:rRNA from 1 species
AUACGUAGGGGGCGAGCGUUGUCCGGAAUCAUUGGGCGUAAAGGGCGCGUAGGCGGAUAUUUAAGUCUGGUGUGAAAGUCUAGGGCUUAACCUUAGGAUUGCACCGGAAACUGGAUAUCUUGAGGACAGGAGAUGAAAGCGGAAUUCCACGUGUAGCGGUGAAAUGCGUAGAUAUGUGGAGGAACACCAGUGGCGAAGGCGGCUUUCUGGACUGUAACUGACGCUGAGGCGCGAAAGCGUGGGGAGCAAACAGGAUUAGAUACCCUGGUAGUCCACGCCGUAAACGAUGAGUGCUAGGUGUAGAGGGUAUCGACCCCUUCUGUGCCGCAGUUAACACAAUAAGCACUCCGCCUGGGGAGUACGGCCGCAAGGUUGAA